rnacentral:rRNA from 1 species
AUUGAACGCUGGCGGCAGGCCUAACACAUGCAAGUCGAGCGGAUGAAGGGAGCUUGCUCCUGGAUUCAGCGGCGGACGGGUGAGUAAUGCCUAGGAAUCUGCCUGGUAGUGGGGGAUAACGUCCGGAAACGGGCGCUAAUACCGCAUACGUCCUGAGGGAGAAAGUGGGGGAUCUUCGGACCUCACGCUAUCAGAUGAGCCCAGGUCGGAUUAGCUAGUUGGUGGGGUAAAGGCCUACCAAGGCGACGAUCCGUAACUGGUCUGAGAGGAUGAUCAGUCACACUGGAACUGAGACACGGUCCAGACUCCUACGGGAGGCAGCAGUGGGGAAUAUUGGACAAUGGGCGAAAGCCUGAUCCAGCCAUGUCGCGUGUGUGAAGAGGGUCUUCGGAUUGUAAAGCACUUUAAGUUGGGAGGAAGGGCAGUAAGUUAAUACCUUGCUGUUUUGACGUUACCAACAGAAUAAGCACCGGCUAACUUCGUG